rnacentral:rRNA from 14 species
GUGAGAUGUUGGGUUAAGUCCCGCAACGAGCGCAACCCCUAUCUUUAGUUGCUACCAUUUAGUUGGGCACUCUAAAGAGACCGCCGGUGAUAAGCCGGAGGAAGGUGGGGAUGACGUCAAGUCCUCAUGGCCCUUACAGGUUGGGCUACACACGUGCUACAAUGGCAGUGACAAUGGGUUAAUCCCAAAAAAACUGUCUCAGUUCGGAUUGGGGUCUGCAACUCGACCCCAUGAAGUCGGAAUCGCUAGUAAUCGCGUAACAGCAUGACGCGGUGAAUACGUUCCCGGGCCUUGUACACACCGCCCGUCACACCAUGGGAGUUGGUUCUACCCGACGACGCUGCGCUAACCCUUCGGGGAGGCAGGCGGCCACGGUAGGAUCAGCGACUGGGGUGAAGUCGGAACAAGGUAGCCGUAGGGGAACCUGCGGCUGGAUCACCUCCUU